rnacentral:rRNA from 1 species
CGGGGCUAAACAUAUUACCGAAGCUGUGGAUUGUCCUUUGGACAAUGGUAGGAGAGCGUUCUAAGGGCGUUGAAGCAUGAUCGUAAGGACAUGUGGAGCGCUUAGAAGUGAGAAUGCCGGUGUGAGUAGCGAAAGACGGGUGAGAAUCCCGUCCACCGAUUGACUAAGGUUUCCAGAGGAAGGCUCGUCCGCUCUGGGUUAGUCGGGUCCUAAGCUGAGGCCGACAGGCGUAGGCGAUGGAUAACAGGUUGAUAUUCCUGUACCACCUAUAAUCGUUUUAAUCGAUGGGGGGACGCAGUAGGAUAGGCGAAGCGUGCGAUUGGAUUGCACGUCUAAGCAGUAAGGCUGAGUAUUAGGCAAAUCCGGUACUCGUUAAGGCUGAGCUGUGAUGGGGAGAAGACAUUGUGUCUUCGAGUCGUUGAUUUCACACUGCCGAGAAAAGCCUCUAGAUAGAAAAUAGGUGCCCGUACCGCAAACCGACACAGGUAGUCAAGAUGAGAAUUCUAAGGUGAGCGAGCGAACUCUCGUUAAGGAACUCGGCAAAAUGACCCCGUAACUUCGGGAGAAGGGGUGCUCUUUAGGGUUAACGCCCAGAAGAGCCGCAGUGAAUAGGCCCAAGCGACUGUUUAUCAAAAACACAGGUCUCUGCUAAACCGUAAGGUGAUGUAUAGGGGCUGACGCCUGCCCGGUGCUGGAAGGUUAAGAGGAGUGGUUAGCUUCUGCGAAGCUACGAAUCGAAGCCCCAGUAAACGGCGGCCGUAACUAUAACGGUCCUAAGGUAGCGAAAUUCCUUGUCGGGUAAGUUCCGACCCGCACGAAAGGCGUAACGAUUUGGGCACUGUCUCAACGAGAGACUCGGUGAAAUCAUAGUACCUGUGAAGAUGCAGGUUACCCGCGACAGGACGGAAAGACCCCGUGGAGCUUUACUGUAGCCUGAUAUUGAAAUUCGGCACAGCUUGUACAGGAUAGGUAGGAGCCUUUGAAACGUGAGCGCUAGCUUACGUGGAGGCGCUGGUGGGAUACUACCCUAGCUGUGUUGGCUUUCUAACCCGCACCACUUAUCGUGGUGGGAGACAGUGUCAGGCGGGCAGUUUGACUGGGGCGGUCGCCUCCUAAAAGGUAACGGAGGCGCUCAAAGGUUCCCUCAGAAUGGUUGGAAAUCAUUCAUAGAGUGUAAAGGCAUAAGGGAGCUUGACUGCGAGACCUACAAGUCGAGCAGGGUCGAAAGACGGACUUAGUGAUCCGGUGGUUCCGCAUGGAAGGGCCAUCGCUCAACGGAUAAAAGCUACCCCGGGGAUAACAGGCUUAUCUCCCCCAAGAGUUCACAUCGACGGGGAGGUUUGGCACCUCGAUGUCGGCUCAUCGCAUCCUGGGGCUGUAGUCGGUCCCAAGGGUUGGGCUGUUCGCCCAUUAAAGCGGUACGCGAGCUGGGUUCAGAACGUCGUGAGACAGUUCGGUCCCUAUCCGUCGUGGGCGUAGGAAAUUUGAGAGGAGCUGUCCUUAGUACGAGAGGACCGGGAUGGACAUACCUCUGGUGUACCAGUUGUCGUGCCAACGGCAUAGCUGGGUAGCUAUGUGUGGACGGGAUAAGUGCUGAAAGCAUCUAAGCAUGAAGCCCCCCUCAAGAUGAGAUUUCCCAACUUCGGUUAUAAGAUCCCUCAAAGAUGAUGAGGUUAAUAGGUUCGAGGUGGAAGCAUGGCGACAUGUGGAGCUGACGAAUACUAAUCGAUCGAAGACUUAAUCAA